CAAUAGCAUAUAUUAAAGUUGUUGCAGUUAAAAGCUCGUAGUUGGAUUUCUGGCAUGAUGCGCCUGGCCCGCCUCAAUUCUGAGUGUGUGUGCGAGUGCGCGUCUGCCAUCCAUUUGCAGAAUGUGCCUACUCUUCAUUGAGCCGGGUACGUGAUGUAAAUCUUUUACUUUGAAAAAUUAGAGUGUUUAAAGCAGGCAUUUGCUAUGAAUACAUUAGCAUGGAAUAAUAAUCUAGGACUUCGGUUCUAUUUUGUUGGUUUCUAGAUCUGAAGUAAUGAUUGAUAGGGAUAGUUGGGGGUGCUAGUAUUAAGGGGCCAGAGGUGAAAUUCUUGGAUUCUCUUAAGACUAACUUAUGCGAAAGCAUUCACCAAGGAUGUCUUCUUUAAUCAAGAACGAAAGUUGGGGGAUCGAAGACGAUCAGAUACCA
rnacentral:rRNA from 1 species